GGGGACGCCGGGCAUCGACGGUUAAUUAUCCCAAAAUUCGCAAACCGAGUUUGAUAGAAUCUCGUUAAACUUCAUCAAAACCAAUAAGUGCCAACUUAUUGAACAAAGUGAAGACGGCUUUUACGCCUUCUUUCGCUCCGGUUUUAGCUUAAUCGCUCAAAACCCAUCCGGCCUGACGAUUCUCAAUAGCCAGAAACCGGGUGUCAUAUUCAUUGAGAUGGGUCUUGCCUCUCCGGAAGGCAAAACCGAGAAAACACCGGAUAGAGUCCAAAGCAUUUUGCUUGGUUUAGAGCUUAGGGCCCGAACAAAAAAAUCAAGCUAAGUUUGUAGAAGUAUUUUGCGGCAAUUUUCCGGACAGGGGUUCAACUCCCCUCGUCUCCAA
rnacentral:tmRNA from 1 species